UCCCGCAUAGCUCAGUUGGUAGAGCGCGACACUAGUACGUAUUACGUCUGCAAUGUCGAGGUCAGUCGUUCGAGUCGGCUUGUGGGAA